CCUACGGGAGGCAGCAGUGGGGAAUAUUGGGCAAUGGACGCAACUCUGACCCAGCAACGCCGCGUGAAUGAUGAAGGUCUUCGGAUUGUAAAGUUCUGUGAUGGGGGAUGAGCACAAUGACGGUACCCCAAUAGCAAGCCACGGCUAACUACGUGCCAGCAGCCGCGGUAAUACGUAGGUGGCAAGCGUUAGCCGGAAUGACUGGGCGUAAAGGGUGCGUAGGUGGUUUAGUAAGUUGGCGGUGUAAUUCCGGGGCUCAACCUCGGCGCUACCGCCAAAACUAUUAGACUAGAGUGCAGGAGGGGUAAGUGGAAUGCCUGGUGUAGCGGUGGAAUGCGUAGAGAUUAGGAGGAACAUCAGGGGCGAAGGCGACUUACUGGACUGUAACUGACACUGAGGCACGAAAGCGUGGGGAGCAAACAGGAUUAGAUACCCCGGUAGUC
rnacentral:rRNA from 1 species